rnacentral:rRNA from 1 species
UACAGAGGGUGCUAGCGUUAAUCGGAAUUACUGGGCGUAAAGGGUGUGUAGGUGGUUAUAUAAGUUAGAUGUGAAAUCCCCGGGCUCAACCUGGGAACUGCGUUUAAGACUGUGUAACUAGAGUACUGUAGAGGAUAGUGGAAUUUCCAGUGUAGCGGUGAAAUGCGUAGAUAUUACAAGGAACACCAAUGGCGAAGGCAGCUUGCUGGGCCACUCCUGACACUGAGGUACGAAAGCGUGGGGAGCGAACAGG